UCGAUUAGAGUUUGAUCCUGGCUCAGAACGAACGUUGGUGGCGUGGAUGAGGCAUGCAAGUCGAACGUGAAAACCCGGAUGUGAGUAAAGCGGCGGACGGGUGAGUAACGCGUAAUCAAGUUGCCCUCGAGACUGGGAUAACAGCGGGAAACUGCUGCUAAAACCGGAUGGUCCUACCGGGUCGCAUGGCCUGGUAGGUAAAUGGUUGGGAUCCUUCGGGACCUUCUGCUCGGGGAACGAUUGCGUUCUAUCAGCUUGUUGGUGAGGUAACGGCUCACCAAGGCUACGACGGAUAGCAGGCCUGAGAGGGUGGUCUGCCACACUGGGACUGAGACACUGCCCAGACUCCUACGGGAGGCUGCAGUCGAGAAUCUUCCGCAAUGGGCGAAAGCCUGACGGAGCGACGCCGCGUGAAGGACGAAGGCCCUUGGGUUGUAAACUUCUGUCGCGAAUUAUGAACCCCUUGUAGUUAAUAGCUGCAAGGCUUGACGUAAGCCCGAGAGGAAGCACUGGCUAACUCUGUGCCAGCAGCCGCGGUAAUACAGAGAGUGCAAACGUUGUUCGGAAUUACUGGGCUUAAAGCGCACGUAGGCGGCGUCAUCAGUGUGAGGUGAAAGCCCACGGCUCACCCGUGGAACUGCCCGGCAAACUGCAGUGCUAGAGUGUGGUAGGGGAGAGCGGAACUCUAGGUGUAGCGGUGAAAUGCGUAGAUAUCUGGAGGAACACCGGAGGCGAAGGCGAAUCACUGGACCGCAUCUGACGCUGAGGCGCGAAAGCUAGGGGAGCAAACAGGAUUAGAUACCCUGGUAGUCCUAGCUGUAAACGAUGGGCACUAGCUUGGGGAAUCCCUGUGUUUUCCCAGGUGAAGCUAAAGUAAUAAGUACCCCGUCUGGGGAGUACGGCCGCAAGGCUGAAACUCAAAGGAAUUGACGGGGGCUCACACAAGCGGUGGAGCAUGUGGUUCAAUUCGAAGCAACGCGAAGAACCUUCCCCAGGCUCAUGCAGGGGCUAGUCCGGUGAAAGUCGGAUGAUUACCUUCGGGUGUGACCUGCACAGGUGUUGCAUGGCUGUCGUCAGCUCGUGUCGUGAGAUGUCGGGUUAAGUCCCUUAACGAGCGAAACCCCUAUCACUAGUUACCAGCGGGUAAUGCCGGGCACUUUAGUGAGACUGCCGUAGUUAAUACGGAGGAAGGUGGGGAUGACGUCAAGUCAUCAUGGCCCUUACGCCUAGGGCUACACACGUGCUACAAUGGCUGGUACAGAGAGAUGCGAAGCCGCGAGGUGGUGCAGACCUCAUAAAGCCAGCCCCAGUUCGGAUUGCAGGCUGCAACUCGCCUGCAUGAAGUUGGAAUCGCUAGUAAUCGCGGAUCAGCUACGCCGCGGUGAAUAUGUUCCUGAGCCUUGUACACACCGCCCGUCAAGCCACGAAAGUUGAGAGCGCCCGAAGUCGCUAGUCCAACCGCAAGGAGGACGGCGCCGAAGGCGAGCUCGAUGAUUGGGACUAAGUCGUAACAAGGUAGCCGUAGGGGAACCUGCGGCUGGAUCACCUCCUUA
rnacentral:rRNA from 1 species